UUAUGGAGAAGGGCUGUUGCUAAUGCUAAAAGCAUUGGACACCUUCUUUUUGCCCGAUUACUGAGGCUGCAAGAAAGUUCGCAAGGGGAACAUCCUCCCCCAGAAGAUGAAGGCGGUGAGCCUGAACACACCUGGCUGACUGAGAUGCUCGAGAAUUGGACCAGGACCUCCCUGGAAAAGCAGGAGCAGCCCCAUGAGGACCCCGAAAGGAAAGGUACCAUGUGUAGUGUGAUAAGUGUCAUCAACAGUAAGUGCCACCAACCUUCUCCCCCCUCUUGCUCUUCCCCAACCCUAUGGGCCAGUCCUGCAGGGGACAUGACAAGAUGUCCCACUGGUACAGUUUGGAUGUUUGUUCCCUUCCACAUCUCAUGUUGGAUGUAAUCCCCCAAUGUAAAUUAGUUCAACCAUUGUAGGAGACAGUGUGGAAUUCCUCAAGGAUCUAGAUCCAGAAAUACUAUUUGACCCAGCAAUCCCAUUACUGGGUAUAUGCCCAAAGGAAUAUAAAUCAUUCUGUUAGAAAGAUACAGGCACGUGUAUGUUCA
rnacentral:sRNA from 1 species